AAUAAACUAAUUUUUCACUUUUUAUUUUUAAUUUUUGACUUUUCGUCUUAUUCAAAAAAAUUUUGCGAUUGAUAUUUUUGUUUUUAUUAGAUAAUAAAUUAUGAAUAUUACUUUACGUGUGACUAAUUUUUUUCUAAUUUUCUAAAAAAAUUUUAAAUAAGACGGAUGAUCAAACGUUGGAUAUGGAAACCGAAGAAUUCGUUUUCU
rnacentral:pre_miRNA from 1 species